rnacentral:misc_RNA from 1 species
GAUGAAGAACGUAGCGAAAUGCGAUACGUAAUGUGAAUUGCAAAUUCAGUGAAUCAUCGAGUCUUUGAACGCACAUUGCGCCCCCUGGUAUUCCGGGGGGCAUGCCUGUCCGAGCGUCAUUGCUGCCCUCAAGCACGGCUUGUGUGUUGGGCCCCGUCCUCCGAUCCCGGGGGACGGGGCCGAAAGGCAGCGGCGGCACCGCGUCCGGUCCUCGAGCGUAUGGGGCUUUGUCACCCGCUCUGUAGGCCCGGCCGGCGCUUGCCGAUCAACCCAAAUUUUUAUCCAGGUUGACCUCGGAUCAGGUAGGGAUACCCGCUGAACUUAAGCAUAUCAAUAAGCGGAGGA